rnacentral:rRNA from 1 species
GCAUAUCAAUAAGCGGAGGAAAAGAAACUAACAAGGAUUCCCUUAGUAACGGCGAGUGAAGCGGGAAGAGCUCAAAUUUGAAAUCUUCAAGGUUUUACCUUGACGAAUUGUAGUUUAAAGAAGUGUUUUCUGUUGAAGUUUUGGUAAAAGUUCUUUGGAAUAGGACAUCAUAGAGGGUGAGAAUCCCGUAUUUGACCAUUAUUUUCAGCUGUGUGAUACACUUUCAAAGAGUCGGAUUGUUUGGGAAUGCAGUCCAAAAUGGGUGGUAAAUUUCAUCUAAAGCUAAAUAUUGGCGAGAGACCGAUAGCGAACAAGUACCGUGAGGGAAAGAUGAAAAGAACUUUGAAAAGAGAGUUAAACAGUACGUGAAAUUGUCAAAAGGGAAGCGUUUGACACCAGUGUUGUUUUCUCGAAAAUCAAUUAAAAAGAGUUGGAUUUUGUGUUGUAUUGACCUUAACAGCUUGCUUCACUCUUUUCCAGCUUUUUUUAAUGCACUUUUCGUUUAACAAGUCAACAUCAGUUUCUUUUGUUGUAAAAGGGUCAUUGGAAGGUGGCUUUCUCUUCGGAGAAAGUGUUUAUAGCCUUUGAUCUCUGCAAUCGGAGAGACUGAGGUCUGCAGCGUAGAUCCUUCGGGGUUAGAUACAUUUGUGCUAAGCUACAGCUUUUCAUAGACAACUUGUUGACUAUGUUUCGUCUUGUGACUUACCCGCUUAUGCUAUUUUACCUACGCUUAGGAUGUUGACAAAAUGGUUUUAAACGACCCGUCUUGAAACACGGACC